AACGAACGCUGGCGGCAUGCCUAACACAUGCAAGUCGAACGAGACCUUCGGGCCUUGUGGCGGACGGGGGGGUGCGGCCGGGUGACUUGCCCUUAGGUUCGGUAUACCUCCCCGAGAGGGGAGCUAAUACAGCUUAAUGUAUUCCGAGCAAAGAUUUCUCGCCUUUGGGUGGGCUAGCGUUGGAUUAGCCGGUUGGUAGGGUAAAAGCCUACCAAGGGGAUGAUCCAUAGCUGGUCUGAGAGGAUGAACUGCCACUCGGGGACGGAGAAGCGGCCCAGACUCGUACGGGGGGGAGAAUUGGGGAAUAUGGGACAAAGGGUGAGAGACUGACCCAGCGAUGGCGAGGGAGUGAUGAAGGCCGUAGAGUUGUAAAGCUCUUUAACCCGGGAUGAUAAUGAUAGUGCCGGAAGAAGAAGCGGCGACUAACGCG
rnacentral:rRNA from 1 species